AGGUUUCCAGAGUAAAGCUGAUCUGCUCUGGGUAAGUCGGGGCCUAAGGCGAGGUCGAAAGACGUAGUCGAUGGAUAACAGGUGGAGAUUCCUGUACUAUGUGUACCCAGAACUGUGGGGACGCAUGUGGAGAGCACGAGCCGGGAAAGAGAAAACCGGUACAAGCGGGGUAGGAGUAAGGACAGCAAAUCUUCCUUACAAUCCGAAGACGUAAUGUGGACCGAACCAAAGUAGGGAAGCGUGUGAGCCAUGUGCCAAGAAAAGCCGCUAUUGUGAUACACAUACCCGUACCGUAAACCGACACAGGUGGAUGAGGAGAGAAUCCUAAGGCCGACGGAAGAAGCAUUGUUAAGGAACUCGGCAAAAUGACCCCGUAACUUCGGGAGAAGGGGUGCCCUGUGAAAGCAGGGCCGCAGAGAAUAGGCUCAAGCAACUGUUUAGCAAAAACACAGGUCUAUGCGAAACCGAAAGGUGAGGUAUAUGGGCUGACGCCUGCCCGGUGCUGGAAGGUUAAGAGGAGAGGUUAGCGCAAGCGAAGCUUUGAAUUUAAGCCCCAGUAAACGGCGGCCGUAACUAUAACGGUCCUAAGGUAGCGAAAUUCCUUGUCGGGUAAGUUCCGACCCGCACGAAAGGCGUAAUGAUUUGGGCACUGUCUCGACAAUGCACCCGGUGAAAUUGAAAUACCAGUGAAGAUGCUGGUUACCUGCGCCAGGACGGAAAGACCCCAUGGAGCUUUACUCCAGUCUGGUACUGGGACUCGGUAUUGCAUGUACAGGAUAGGUGGGAGGCUAGGAGAUGGUAACGCCAGUUGCCAUGGAGCCGCUGUUGGGAUACCACCCUUGCAGUAUUGGGUUUCUAACCAGCCGCCGUGACCCGGCGGUGGGACAAUGCCAGACGGGGAGUUUGACUGGGGCGGUCGCCUCCGAAAGGGUAUCGGAGGCGCCCAAAGGUUCCCUCAGAAUGGACGGAAACCAUUCGAAGAGUGCAAAGGCAGAAGGGAGCUUGACUGCGACACCGACGGGUGGAGCAGGUACGAAAGUAGGACUUAGUGAUCCGGUGGUAUAAAGUGGGAUUGCCAUCGCUCAACGGAUAAAAGCUACCCUGGGGAUAACAGGCUUAUCACUCCCAAGAGUUCACAUCGACGGAGUGGUUUGGCACCUCGAUGUCGGCUCAUCGCAUCCUGGGGCUGUAGUAGGUCCCAAGGGUUGGGCUGUUCGCCCAUUAAAGCGGUACGCGAGCUGGGUUCAGAACGU
rnacentral:rRNA from 1 species